rnacentral:rRNA from 1 species
CCGGGUUGCGGACAGUGUCUGGUGGGUAGUUUGACUGGGGCGGUCUCCUCCUAAAGAGUAACGGAGGAGCACGAAGGUUGGCUAAUCCUGGUCGGACAUCAGGAGGUUAGUGCAAUGGCAUAAGCCAGCUUGACUGCGAGCGUGACGGCGCGAGCAGGUGCGAAAGCAGGUCAUAGUGAUCCGGUGGUUCUGAAUGGAAGGGCCAUCGCUCAACGGAUAAAAGGUACUCCGGGGAUAACAGGCUGAUACCGCCCAAGAGUUCAUAUCGACGGCGGUGUUUGGCACCUCGAUGUCGGCUCAUCACAUCCUGGGGCUGAAGUAGGUCCCAAGGGUAUGGCUGUUCGCCAUUUAAAGUGGUACGCGAGCUGGGUUUAGAACGUCGUGAGACAGUUCGGUCCCUAUCUGCCGUGGGCGCUGGAGAACUGAGGGGGGCUGCUCCUAGUACGAGAGGACCGGAGUGGACGCAUCACUGGUGUUCGGGUUGUCAUGCCAAUGGCACUGCCCGGUAGCUAAAUGCGGAAGAGAUAAGUGCUGAAAGCAUCUAAGCACGAAACUUGCCCCGAGAUGAGUUCUCCCUGAGACUUAAAGUCUCCUGAAGGAACGUUGAAGACGACGACGUUGAUAGGCCGGGUGUGUAAGCGCAGCGAUGCGUUGAGCUAACCGGUACUAAUGAACCGUGAGGCUUAACCUUACAACGCCGAAG